ensembl:lncRNA
GUCGGGGGCAGAUGUGGUACUAAAAGAUAUUUCCCAAACUGUGAGGUAAAGUUACAUUCAUCACACUAACAGACAUACACAGAGCUUGGAUUUCUCUGUUUGUAUGGCUUUGAGGCAUUACUGUUCCACAAUACCAUGUGCUCUUGAAAAUCUCCAAUAGAAAUGGAAUGAAAGGCUCAAAUUUGUGAAUGAUUGUGUGCCCACUAACAUUUUGGAUGGGUAAAACUGAAUGUAGUGUUCAGAAUAGUAUCAAUUUUCAAUAGGUGCCACGAUCUAAAACGUAGUACCGUGUCACAUAUGGAAUCAUCAUUUUAAUUCCAUGCUUGGAACUGUACACACUUAGAAAUGUAAUGUAUUAUGGGUUGCCCAUAGUCUACUUUAGACAGCUUGUGUUCUAGAUGAACACCUUUUAUUUUACCCACCUCGAAACAACUGGAUUUCAUGAUACUGUAAACCAAAUGUUUCAAUUAAGAAAAUAUGUAAUAUGACUCUUGGGUAAGAAGCCUUCUAAAUACAAAUUUUCAAAUGGAGAACCUUUUAAAAGAUGAUAAAAUGUCAACAAAUGGAUACUUGAGCAUAGGGAGCUGAGUAACUGAAUAGGUCUCAUUGCAUCGGUUUUAAUAUGUCUGACUGUGGUUUGAAGAUACAGUUACAGUAGUAUCACCUUAUGUCUAAAGCCAAGUAGAGCAACAUGGUUUAAAAUCCAUCUUGAUUUGGAUGGAAAGGACAUGAAGCAAAACUGUUGGGAAUUGAGUAACUUACAAAUGUAGGUGAGACUGGGGGAAACUAUAACACCUACUGUAUUGCUCAGAGACUAAUUAAACUAGGCCAGUAUUUCUUUAAUACAACAAGCAUACAUGGGCCUCGAAAACAUUAAUAUAAUUUCUAGGUCUACAAUAUACAGAACACACUACCGAUUCUGUCCUGACAAGUCCGGGUGUUCCUUUUCUUCCAUUCCAGGGGCAGUCAUACCUUUAGCUGGAUUCAGAUGUAACUCCUAAAAUAAAUCCAAAACUCACUAAACCGGAAUUAAAAUACUAUUUAAGGACUUUUUAUGCAAGUGACCAACAUUACAGUCCUGUUUAUGCCAGGCCAAUUAGUACAUUGUUUGUCUGAUGGCACCCAGAUUAUAUAUUUACAUCUAUGGUACUCUACACCAAAUCACCUUCAGUUUCAAGUAAAAAAAACAUGUGUUUUCAUAAUCUGGCUACUUGUCUCCAUUUAAUUUGCACAUUGUGUAACAACUACCCACAACCCUAACAGACAAACUUUGUGCCUUGCAAGAGAAAAGUCAAGUGACAAGUCGAUCAUGUCAAUGUUUAGACAACAUUUAGUAAUUCAGUUGUUCGAUUUUUAUACAUUAAUGUUCAGGAAUGUAUGAGAACAUUUCAGCUGGUGAAAGAACAUUUCAACCCCCUCUCAAAAAAAAAAAAAAAAAAACUCUAGCAUUCCUAAUUUCUGUGACAUAUUCAAGGUGUUCCAAUUUCCCCCACACUCCCCUACUUAUAAAUACCUCAUAUACUCAGGUUUGUAAUUUGUACAAAAACUAGUUCAUAUUACCAAUGAAAACUGCAUCAUUUAAAAUUACAAGUAAAAAAAAAAAAUGCAUUAGAAUAGUUUGAAUGAAACAAAUAUGACAAGAGAAUUAGAAAACAGGAGUCUGCCCAGAUAGCAUGUUGAUACACUACCAUCACUCAGCCUGCUCACCAGCUACUACUGGAGAAACACACGAUCAUCACCAGUAGUUAUGAGUAGAAAAUGUUAGUAUAAACGUCACAUUAGAAGUGUAAAUACUCCUGCACAUAGCACCAUAGAUAACGUGAGAAUGGCUAUCUAGGCUGCGUUUAGACAGCCCACUUCUGAUACAGGCCUGGAUCCAUAGGGGGCAAAGCUGGGCAUUGCCCCCCACCCAGAUAGAAUCUGUGCCCCUAGUUUUGUUUCCCCUUAAACACUGCAAAUGGUAUAGGAAUUAGAUAUGCCCUCCCAUUGAUAAAAAAUGCCACUAAUUUUAUCCUGGAGCCAGUCCUGUCCUGAUCAGUUUUUAUUAAAUCAAAAACAAAAAGAUGUGAUGAGAAGGUCUGAUAUGAGGUCCAAAUACCAUAAAUUGGGAAAAAAAUAAAAUAGGGCUGCCUGUGUAAAUGCACCCUAUGUAACAGAUUUCAGGCCACAUUCCAAUAUCCGUACUAGCAUAACACCAGGGUUGGUGGCAAUUCCAAAUAUAUUUUUUUCCUCAUUGAAAAGCAUUGAAGAAAAUUGGAUUGUUAAUUUCAGUGCGCUUCCAAAAUGUACCCCAACCCAGCAUAGCAUACCUCAUAGACUAGAGUAGCAGUUCCCAAACCUUUUUGGGCCGAGGACCACCAAAUUACUGUCAAAUGCUUAAGUAUUACAGUUGUGAAGUCUAAUUUUACCUUAAUUACCUGCUUUACUUGUUGAAAUGUAGUCCUAAUCACUUAAAGUAAAAGAUACAUGACUAUUAUAAUU